rnacentral:sRNA from 1 species
AGCAUUAGCAGCUAGGGUUCCGGCUGGUGUCCGAUUUAUCGGAUCAUCUGGUGACUGGUCCGAGAGCUGCGGCUCUGUCGGUUUACAGCGGCAGAGUACACGGCGGGAUAAAAGCCCGGGAGGU